UUACUUAUAACUGGAAGUUUGUACCUUUUAAUCCCCUUCACCUAUUUUGUCUGUCCCUCUCCCCUUCUUUGUCAGGUUUUGAUAUUACAUAUACACACAACAAGUUGGGUAGUGAUCCUGUCUUCUUUAUGUCUUGAAAAAAAUUGUGUAAGGUUUGUGUUACUUCUUCCUUGAAUGUUGAUAGAAUUCACUAGUGAAACUGUCUGGAAUUGAAGUUUUUUCUUGGAGAAACUUUUUAUGACAAAUUCAAAAAAUUUAAAGAUAUAGGGCUAUUAAGUUUCUAUUUCUACUUGUGUCAAUUUUGGUUAAGUUGGUUUUUUAAGAAAUAAGUGUAUUUCAUUCAGGUUGUCAAAUUUGUUGCUAUGAAGUUAUUCAUAGUUUUCUCUCAUUAUCCUUUUCAUAUCUGUAGGAUCUGUGAUGAUAACUCCCCUAUUCACCCCUGAUACUGGCAAUUUGUUUUUUCUUGGGCAAAAAGGAGCAAUUGACCACUUCAAACAGUGCAACAUUAUCUUCAUCCCUGUAGAAGAACUUGGAAGAUACAGCUUUACCUGAAAGUCUUGGAUGGCUCUUCUUCAAGAAGCAACCAGGGCUACGGAGAAUGAUUUCUGGAGGGCAGGUCUCCCUCUGAAUUACAAACUGGUGAACCUAGAAGGGAAACUUCCUGCUACAAUAACACAGCAAGGCGAUGUGAUGAACACUUUUAUUUACAAAUAUAAUUAAAAGCUCUGACAGUUA